GGUGCGAUUGCGCCCUCUCGUUGCGCACCGCGCGGUUGGCUGCGCCAAAGCUGAAAGCCCACAGCUCACUCGAACCCUAGCCGCCACAUCCCGUCAGCAUCACAGGCGCCGGCGCGCCGCACCCCCUAUUCCUCCUUUCUCCUCGUCUGAAUAGCCGCCGGCCGCCGCACCGCUUCUUCCCCUUCCUCCUACCUCCCUUAUCCCUGCCCCCAAUCCACAUCCUCCUCCUCCCUUCCUUCCUUCCAGAUCGGGGAGUAAGAUGGCGGGCGGCAGAGCGUGGGGUCGAUGGCAGCGGCUGGACGAGGUCGUCCACAGGCGAGGAAUGGCCGCCAAGCUUGUUCCUCCGACCGCCGCACUGGAGCCCCGGCGGCUGAGCCUGCAGUGGCACCGGUAGUCCGUCCGUGCUCGUCCUCCUCCUCCUCUCUCUCUCUCCCGUGCAGCCGCCCUCCUCCCUCGUCGAUUGACUCGACCUCAGUCCACCUCUGUGUGCUCUCCUCCUAUUAUGCGGGCACUCGGCGGCAGGGAGCAUGGCGGCGACCGGGGCUGCUGGACAGUAGGUGCUCGCCGAGGUGGUCCAUGCCUGGGAAGACGGCGACAUCUUCCGGCGACAAGGAAGUGAAGACGGCCAUUCGUCGUGCCAUGAGCUCCAUUCAUAUUACUAUAUGCUUAAAACAUCGUGCUCUCCUUAUCUACAUCAUGUGGUAGUAGUAUUUACUUGCCAUUCAUGCAUCUUGUUCCAUCAUGUCAGUCAUAUCUUACAUAUCACGCUUGACUGGUUUGUUCAAUUCCUCUACUAUGCUUUUCUGUCGUGUUUUUCAAACAUUCUCGGUUACUAUAGAUUAUCAUGAUAUCUUGCUGCAAUGCAUUCAAACCUGCAAAUAGCUUUGUAAACAGAGUUAUGUGCCCAGGCUUUGGCGGAGGUGUGCUCUUGUCUUGUCUUUCAUAAUAUUCGCCUUUAUUGCGUGCACAAUCAGUUGGUGGUACCCAGUGGAGGUUGAAUUGUUAGUACUUAUGCCUCUGAUUUUGUGGGGUAGUUAGUGUAUGCCUGCAUGCCUCAUUGGAAAUAUUACUGCAUGAUACCAUACAGAUAUUUCAGUUUAUAAACUGAUAAGGUAAUUAUGAGUUUAUUAGAGAGUACAGAUUUGCUCAGCUACUAGCCUACAAUGACUUGUAUAUUUGUAAAUAGUGAAGUACUCUAUGCACCUUAAAAAUAAUCUUUAAGUGAAAGAUGCAGUUACUUUACAUUAGUACCUUCGCCAUUUAGGCAGGGUGGAGGCGACGCACAAGGACGCCUCUAGCACGUUCACCGCCAGCCGUUGCCGUUGCUUUCUUCUUUUUUGGCUUAUAUUUCUUAAUACCUAAAGUGAAUGCCUGGUACUCAUUCUCCUAAUGUUUCAAGGUAUUUCUCAUUAUUAGAGCAUUUACAUUGCUUUACAGAGUAUACAUCAAGCACAGUUGAAGUACAUAUCAAAUAGUUGUAUUCCAGAGUUGUUUGAUUCGCAUGAUAAAGAUUCUAAAAAUAGUUCCCAUGCCAUAAUAAGUUAUAAUGUUUUGUUUCUCUUAUAUUUAUAUGUUUACACCACUGCUUUUGUUCCAAUUUUAUUGGAGGCUCAUAUUAGGUCGCUUUGGAGGCUGAAAUCAGGUGGCUGCUCAUGUCUGGCUUGGUGGCUUGGUGCCUAUAUUUUAGAUGUUCCAUUAAUCUUGGCUGCUUUUCUCACCAGUUUUGGGCUUUAACCUUGGAUCUAGAAGGUUGCAGCUUCUUUGUUCUCCUACUCAAGAUUUGCUCACUUUCUAGCUGGUUGCUGCAUCAUUUACUUUUUCCUCUGUUCAAGGAUGUAUCGUACACAUUGUCACCUUUUUCCUCUAUUCAGAUAUCGGUGUUGCCUAAUUAAAAAAUGAACAACAAUACCAGUUGUACCAGUUGAAGUUUUUUCUUUCUGAAUUGAGUAGUUAAGAGUUCAGUCUUCCUAUAGAAUCUCCAGGAGUUUAGUUAGGCAUUCUGAAAAAGAGAAGUCUUGUUGAUCAGACGGCUAAACGCUCAUAUCGCUCCUAAACUUGAUACACUGUUUUCCUUUUGAUAUGUCUUGCCAAGCAGAGCGACCAAUGCAAGGAGGACCAAGAUCUAGGACGGUGAGCCUCGCCUAGCUCUUCCACCUCUUCCACCUAUCAUGGAGGAGGGACGAAGGGGGAGAAGAUUACAGCAUGAUUCAGGAUCAGUUGAGGGUUGAAUGCUUCAAUGGUUCCAGAAAGCUUCAUCCACAAUCCUGACAAAUAUUUCCUUUGAUGUCACAAAGCAUACCAAGAAUUUGAAGUGAGUACGUUUUAUCCCAGCUAACCUGUCAGGCUGUCACCUUUUAGCGAUGUCAUGAAAAAUGAACAUAUGGCAGUCAUUUAUUAUUAAUCUUGUGGUGACAUAUGCAUGACUAUUAGUAGAAUACUUUGUAGUAAGUUGUGUGUAAAUGUUGUGUAGAGAAGGCGAUAGGGAGACUGACGGGGCAUAGAGUGCUUCCGUGUGUUGGGGUAUUUAGCUGAUUGCUCAUUUGGGAGCACUCAAUAGCAUGUUGCAUCUUUAAUUUUAUGAAAUAAAUGCCUUCCUUUGUUUGCUCA